CACGUAGGGCGCAAGCGUUGUCCGGAAUUAUUGGGCGUAAAGAGCUCGUAGGCGGUCUGUUGCGUCUGCUGUGAAAACCCGGGGCUUAACCCCUGGCUUGCAGUGGAUACGGACAGACUAGAGGUAGGUAGGGGAGAAUGGAAUUCCUGGUGUAGCGGUGAAAUGCGCAGAUAUCAGGAGGAACACCGAUGGCGAAGGCAGGUCUCUGGGCAUUAACUGACGCUGAGGAGCGAAAGCAUGGGGAGCGAACAGG
rnacentral:rRNA from 1 species